UACGGAGGGUGCGAGGGUUACCCGGCUUUACUGGGCGUCAAGGGCGUGUAGGCGGUCUCUCAAGUCCGAUGCUAAAGACCGAAGCUCAACUUCGGGGGUGCGUUGGACACUGUGAGGCUAGACGGUCGGAGAGGGUAGCGGAAUUUCCGGAGUAGCGGUGAAAUGCGCAGAUACCGGAAGGAACGCCAAUAGCGAAAGCAGCUACCUGGACGAUUUGUGACGCUGAGGCGCGAAAGCGUGGGGAGCAAACCGG
rnacentral:rRNA from 1 species